rnacentral:rRNA from 1 species
GACGUAGGGCGCAAGCGUUGUCCGGAUUUAUUGGGCGUAAAGAGCUCGUAGGCGGCCUGUCGCGUCGACCGUGAAAACCCGCAGCUCAACUGCGGGCUUGCGGUCGAUACGGGCAGGCUGGAGUUCGGUAGGGGAGACUGGAAUUCCUGGUGUAGCGGUGAAAUGCGCAGAUAUCAGGAGGAACACCGGUGGCGAAGGCGGGUCUCUGGGCCGAUACUGACGCUGAGACGCGAAAGCGUGGGGAGCGAACAGG